ACCGUGACCAGCACUCGACCAGGAGCUCAGGAUUUUAAUGAGAGUUGCAAUGCCACUGCUUGUAGCAAACUGUGGCAAAAAGAAAGAGAGGCGAAGUUAGUCAAUUUUCUUACACAAUAUUCCAAGGCAGUAUCAAAUCAUUUAAUUAAAUUUUAUACAUAUCAAAGUAUCAUACAUCUUAUACGUAAAGCCGCAUCAGCUAGCCCUUCUGUUUGAUGCAGAAUAUCCAUAAGUAAAAAAAAGGAAUCGAUUAACAAAUGGAACAUUGAAUGGGGGACUCAAGGCUAAGGAAAUUAGGAAGCUAACGGUAAAGGGUGUAACAGUAUUUAACAUGAAGUGUACGGGUGCAUAGGCCACAAGAUGGUACUACUCUUAAGGGUAAAUCUAGGAUGGUUUACAAAGUAGCAACAGCAUUAAAGGACGAACAAAUAACAAGAAGAUGAUCACAGCUUGUAGCAAGGAUGAUGUGAGGUACUCCCUCCGUCCGAAAAAGCUUAUCCCUCUAAUAAAUAUAUCUAGAAUCAAGUUAGUACUAGAUAUAUCUAUUUGAGGGACAAGUUUUGGACAAGUUUUUUCGGACGGAGGAAGUACAAUACUAAUUAGUAGCAAAGGCAUAGUGAGUACAAGACACCAACUUUUACAUUUGUUACAGUUGGCUACCUCUGGGCCUGUUCGGAUUCCCUCCCCUCCACAACUCGGCUCCCGGAGUUGGAGGAGCGGCAGUUCAAAAUCACGGAGUGGGGAAGGAGGCGCUCCACAGAUCCUCUGAUUUCACGGAGCGGGAGGAUUAUGAACAACCCGUUUAUAUGACAAUGUGGGACUAAAAUUAAAAGGGGAGGAAUGGUCAAACAUCAGUUAAGAAAGCCCUAUGCAGAAGUGGAAACGCGGGCAAAUUAACUAGAGAAGUUUCAUGUAAAAAAUAAACAAAUAGAUUUAAUGUUACCUUUGGUUGCAGGAAUCUUCUAAUUGGUGCUUUGUCAGACAACUCGGCGGUGUAUACCAGCUUUCACAGAUUCAUCUGGAUAUUUAAAAGUUCCAGCCAUCAUGAAUAUAAUUGAUAGAAAAAAGAAGCAAACUACAGAAACAAAUUGGAAACUGGAAAUAUAAUACUCGUAGUGCAGAUAGCUUGUAACUGAAAGAAGAAAUUAACAACAGGGAAGUCGGAGGGGAAAAAAGUUUACCAACAAUAUCCACCAGCCAGGUUGAUAAUGAUGCCUUACAUGGCUCCCCUGACACUGAAAAGGAUACUUGUAAUUACAAAAUUGUAUUGAUAAAUCAUUUACUAUAGUAUGCGAGUCAGAUAAUACGAUACUAUGGUGCAUUAUACCUAAAGAAGUUCCCUCGCAUUG
rnacentral:lncRNA from 1 species